UUACACCCUUACAGUGUAAUUAAGGGUACAAAGAAGGAAGAAACUAGAUGUGCACAAAUGAAAAUCUUUUAUGAUGGAGAAGUGAUUGUGCUUGAUGAUAUUUCAGAUGAAAAAGCCAAGGACAUCAUGGUCUUUUCUACCAACAACUAUGCUGCUUUUAUUUGGAUGAAAGCUUCACUUCAUCGGUUCUUGGAGAAAAGGAAGAAUAGGGCACCAUAUCAAACAACUUAUCCAGCAACA